rnacentral:rRNA from 1 species
AGGGUUUGAUCAUGGCUCAGGAUGAACGCUAGCGGGAGGCUUAAUACAUGCAAGUCGAACGGUAACAGAGAAUCUUUUCGGAGAAUCUGCUGACGAGUGGCGCACGGGUGAGUAACGCGUACACAAUCUACCUUUUACAGGGGGAUAGCCUCGGGAAACUGAGAAUAAUACCCCAUAGUAUAUACUAAUCGCAUGGUUUGGUAUAUUAAAGCUCCGGCGGUAGAAGAUGAGUGUGCGUUAGAUUAGCUAGUUGGUAGGGUAACGGCCUACCAAGGCGACGAUCUAUAGGGGGCGUGAGAGCGUGAUCCCCCACACGGGUACUGAGACACGGACCCGACUCCUACGGGAGGCAGCAGUAAGGAAUAUUGGACAAUGGGCGAAAGCCUGAUCCAGCCAUCCCGCGUGCAGGAAGACGGCCCUCUGGGUUGUAAACUGCUUUUGUAUGGGACGAAACGCCAUCAUUUAUGAGGGUCUGACGGUACCAUAAGAAUAAGCAUCGGCUAACUCCGUGCCAGCAGCCGCGGUAAUACGGAGGAUGCGAGCGUUAUCCGGAAUCACUGGGUUUAAAGGGUGCGUAGGCGGAAAGAUAAGUCAGAGGUGAAAGCUGGUCGCUUAACGACCAAAUUGCCUUUGAUACUGUUUUUCUUGAAAUAUGAUGAGGUUGGCAGAAUGUGACAUGUAGCGGUGAAAUGCAUAGAUAUGUCAUAGAAUACCAAUUGCGAAGGCAGCUGAC